rnacentral:rRNA from 1 species
CUCGUAGGCGGCCAACUAAGUCGGAUGUGAAAUCCCCAGGCUUAACCUGGGAACUGCAUCCGAUACUGGAUGGCUUGAAUUCGGGAGAGGGAUGCAGAAUUCCAGGUGUAGCGGUGAAAUGCGUAGAUAUCUGGAGGAAUACCGGUGGCGAAGGCGGCAUCCUGGACCGACAUUGACGCUGAGGAGCGAAAGCCAGGGGAGCAAACG